rnacentral:rRNA from 1 species
ACGUAGGGAGCAAGCGUUGUCCGGAAUUACUGGGCGUAAAGGGCGCGUAGGCGGGUAUUUAAGUCAGAUGUGAAAGCUCCGGGCUCAACUUGGAGAGUGCAUUUGAAACUGGGUAUCUUGAGGGCAGGAGAGGAAAGUGGAAUUCCUAGUGUAGCGGUGAAAUGCGUAGAUAUUAGGAGGAACACCAGUGGCGAAGGCGGCUUACUGGACUGUACCUGACGCUGAGGCGCGAAAGCGUGGGGAGCGAACAG